rnacentral:lncRNA from 1 species
GUGCUCUUUGUAGCUGGAGGCAAUCAGACGUUCCCUUUAAGAAAGGCAGAAUUAAUUGGCUGUGGAAGAGAAACCUAUAUUCAGCUGCAGCAGUGCCCUUGCAGAGAAGUGAUUUUCAAUGGGCUCACUUAACACUAUUUUAAUUGUUUUAAAAUGUUUCUAUGGGCUUUUGGAGGUCAGAAGCUGCUAAGUACUGAAGUCUUCCCCAGGGCUGUAGUCUGCGGGUUGGACAAAGGAAACCUGGAGAUUGUGAAAGGGAGCCUGGGAUGAACAGAAAUGAGGUGAGCAGUGGGUGGUCCCAGAACUGAAUGGCUACGAGUUCAAGUCCCUCUCUGCAUAAGAUGGGGUGAUCAGUUAAUGUCUCUUUCAAACACAGGGACUUCUGGAAGCUCAUCUAGGACUAUGACUGGACACUCCUGAAAAGUUAUGUCUAUAGAGACCGAUGGACCAGUGAUUAGAAUUUCAGUACAGUAGGGAGACUGGAAUGUUUCUGGGCCAGAGGCUAACUACCUUCUGUUGGGCUAGUUCUAGCCCUCUGGAGCAGUCAUUCCUUGCUGAUCUCUGCAAGGCCUUUAACAUAAUAGAUUAAAAACCUUUGCAGACUCACAGUCUUCGGUCAGUCCCAAAGCUAAGAAUGUCAUCCGAUAGCAUCUUGGGUGUAUAGAAAAGUCUCCCCCAUCUUGCUGUAACCACCUCUCUGAUGUAACCACCAAUAUAGUUUAAACUUGCCUUGACUUAUGUCUUUCUUUGUUCUGCAAAACUAGGAAGACUUCAUGAAACGGCUUCUACAUUGGAACAUGAGAUUUGGGGUAGUCUACAUCUGUUCAUGGGCAUGAUCAUUUCAAAUGGCUCCAAAAUAAACUGUCUUUUAUUCCCUUUAAGAUGACAGCUGUAGAUUUUGCAUUGCUAGGCAGUACUAACUGAAUGGGAUGUCAGUCGUGGUUCAAGACUUAGCAGCAUCGUGACUUUAGGAGGUCACAGAGUGUCAGCAUUUGGGGUUACAGGUAAGAGUCACAGCUCCCUACUGUUUCACUUGGCAGUGGGGGAUGGGAAUUCCCUUAGAGUUUUAGGAAUCUCAACUCAAGCCAGACCAACACUGAAAAGACUUCAGGACUAGCCAGUAUGGUAGAGUUGGGCAUUUUAUGAAAGAUCUUUAUUGUUACUAUUAUUUUUACUUAUUAAUUAUUAUUGUUGAUUUUAUUUGAGACAAGGGGUCUUUGUGUAGCCCUGGGCAUCCGAGAACUUGCUCUGUAGACCAGGCUGUCCUUGAACUUAGACCUGCUUGCUUCUGCCUCCUCAGUGCUAGGAUUUAAAGGCUUGCACCAUCACCAACCAUCAAAAGAGCUUUUUAAUACAGACUUAAGCACGACGAUGAAGAGAACCAGAAUUCACAAUUAAGAUUCUGGUAGAAUUUGCAGUCAUGACUGUAUCCAUGAGUGCUUCCACAGCAACACCUGACAUUAUAAUAGAUUAACCAAAAGCUAACCUACUGGGCUUCAGGAAGGUAGAGUACCUUUUCUAUGGGCAAAGUUGUCUGUGUUGUAAAUCAAGUGGACUAGCUCCCCCUUUAAAAGGUCCAUGUUUCUUCUCUGUCUUCCAGUGUCUCUGUCUCUCUGUCUCUAUCUCUCUCUCAUGUUCUCACAUCUGGACAGCCUUUUGUUUCCCCCCUCUACAACUAAACCUCUUGCAUUAGAUCUAUUGCACGGUGUGAUCUCUUAGUGGCACAUCUUAGCCCCAACUGCCAAAGGUACCCCCUCUGCUUUACCGUAACAGUUUGAGACUCUCAGGCAAUGAGUGACAGAAAUGAAUGAAGCCCUGCCGCCCCCGUGAUCAUGAACAUUCAAUUAUAUAUACAUGCAUGCACAAGGGAUGUGCCUACAGCCUUUACAGCGAAUGUAAUUUUAUGCUGGGAUUCUUGUUUCUCUACUGACUCUAAUCCCUCUUGUGUCCCUCAAAUCUCCCAGUCUUUCUGUCCUACCUCAAAAUGACUUCUGUGAAAAGAAGAAACUUGCAAUGAAAGCUGUGUUGAGAGAGCUUUCCAGAGUCUAGAUACCAUUAAGGCAACAGGACUGAAUCAGAUCUCAAGUCACUCUCUGGCAAUGGGCAUUCUUGGUUACCUUCGCCUUUGGCUACAGGCAUCUUGCAUGACUAGUAUUUAUGUUACAUCAGAGACUCCAGAUGGAUGCUAUGAUGUCUCUGGAGACUGGGGAGAUAGCUCGAUGGGUAAAAUGCCUCUGUACAAACACAAAGAGCCAAGUUUAGAUGCUCAGUGCCCAGUUAAAGCCAGUGUGGCAGUGCACGUCUCUAGCUCCUGUGCUGAGGUCAAAGCCAGGAGGGGCCUUGCCUACCAAUCAGUCGAGUCUAGCUAAAAGAGCAACCUCUAGAUUCAAUGAGACCCAGUCAGAAAAACUAAGGUGAAUACAUAUCUAGCCUUCCUUUGUGUAUCUAGUAUGACAUUUUUACUAUGUGUUUGGAUUAUUUUAUUGGUUUAUUGAUAAUAGGUCUGUUGGUUGAGUGAGUGAGUCAGAGUCUUACUAUCAGCCCAGGCUAAUCUAGAACGCUGUAUGUAGCCCAGAUUGGCCUUGAACUUGUGAUCCUCUUGUGACUCAGCAACCUAAGCAACAGAAUUUGAGGAAUGUGCCAUCAUGCCUGGAUUCUCUUCUUUUUGUUGUUUUUAUUUGAGAUGGGAAUCUUAUGACUGGCCUGGAGUUUACUAUAUAGUUCAGGCUGGCCUGGACAGUGUAACGGUCCUCUGGUAUCAACCUGUUCAACGCUGGAAGUGGAUACAUAAGUCCCACACUGGCUUUUUCUUCCAUCCUUCCUUCUUUCCUUCCUUCCUUCCUUUCUUUCUGUUUGUUUUUUUCAGGACAGGGUUUCUUCGUGUAGCCCCAGCUGUCCUGGAACUCACUCUGUAGACCAGGCUGGUGUCAGACUCAGAGAUCUGCCUGCUUCUGUCUCCCAAGUGCUGGGAUUAAAGAUUUACACCACCACUUCCAGUCAUACCUGGCUUCUUGUCCCUCACCUUACCUAUCAUGUAGCCUCGCCCUCUCUCCGGUAUUCAAUAGGCAUUUACUACAAAGGUAAACUAGCACUGUUUAUCUUUAUUAGCUUCCACACCCUCUACUUUCUUCUGUAAAGCAAUUUAGUGCUUUUUGAACCUGUGUCUCUGAACUUGAAGUCCUAAAGCAGGCACCUUCCCCCCCACCCCCAUACACAAGCAGGCACACACACACACCUACACACACACACACACACACACCCCUAAAGUUCUUUCAUCGCCACGGUGCUUGGAUUAAUGAACAUUUCUGAGUCUACUCCUUGGCUUUACAGUAAAGAGACAAAGUCUCGUAUCACUCACUAAUCAUGAGAUAAACACAAAUGCACUUUAUACAUUGUAAACAUGAUAAAAAAAAUGUAAAGCUAAGAUUACUGCUUACCACAGGGAGAUGGAAACAUACGACAAAGUAUAUAUCAAAAUAGAACUUUAACCUAACCCCUGCUCAGGGAACCAACCCCAUCUACAGCAAAUAGCUUUCGAAGUCAGCCUAUCCUACAACCCCUGAUGGAUUAGUUACUAAUUCCACAAGUGAGCUUCUAUCAGAGCUCCUCUAUCUGCUGCCCGGCUUGCUCAGCCCUUGAUAGUGACUGACACUCCCCAAUCCUCUCAGCUACCUGCUUUCAGUUCUGUACUGAUAGAGGAAAUCAAAUGUGUGCCCCAGCCAAUCACAUAGGAUGCCUUACUUCAUGGUAGCCAACUAAAGCUUCUGCAUGCCAACAGAAUCCAUGAGGGACAGGCCCUUUUUCACUCUUUAAAGUUUUCAUAACUCCUUGCAGUCCCCACCAGAGCGCAGUAGUGGCAGCUGGCUCUCUUGGGUUAGCAGAUCAAAAGAAAUAGCUUUUGCUUUCCUUUUCUGUCUGCUGCCUGGAAACAACAAGAAAACAAGAAAAAGACUAAGCAUCCAUAGACCAGAAAACAGAUUUGCUUUUACAUAACUGCAGUCUUGAGCUUAAAUUUGAAGAAGGCUGGUGUGAGCAAUGGCUCAUUUUGUGAUAGAUGCUGACACCUAGUGGCCACAAUUGGUAGUUAAAAGUAUAAUAUGUUGCCGGGCAUGGUGGCACACGCCUUUAAUCCCAGCACUCAGGAGGCAGAGGCAGGGGGAUUUCUGAGUUCGAGGCCAGCUUAGUCUACAAAGUGAGUUCCAGGACAGCCAUUGAUACACAGAGAAACCCUGUCUCG